CUCAGAGCAUGCAGCAGAUGAGUUGUCCUCUGGCAUGUGGGAUGGAUCUGGAGGCAGUACUGGAGAUGACACCAAUUCACCUGCAGGCUCCUCAGAUUUUAUUUUGCUGCCAUGAUUUCUUCAAGCACUUGGAAGUUUCGAAUCAGCUCAGUCUGCCCCUGUUUACUUUGAAGACAGAGAAAAGUCUUUCUUUUCAGGAAUUAUGGAUUGACGAUGCUGUUCCUUCAUGUGUGCCUGGUUCAUUAAGCCAUGCAAGGUACUUGCUGCCCGCUACAGAAGAGCCCAAGACAGAGGUCACAGCAGUCCUGCACUGAGCAGGACAAGACAUCUCUCUCCACUUAGAGUCUCUUCUUCCACACAUAUUUAGCACUUGACAGUGGAAGAGAUCAUGAUGAUAAUGUGUGAAAACACUCAUCACUUUUGCAGAUUAUUUGGAACAAAGUAAGCAAGGAAGAAUGAAAAGAGCCUUUCCCUUUUGCUUCACUAGAGAGUCGAUCAGGCUCCAAGUUUUCCGUCAUCAUUGUGGCAAAUCUACCAUUCAAGAACAUCAGAUCCACAUAAAUUGUAAUAUGUACUGAGCUUUUCCUUAAUGCACAUAAGGCUUUGCUGGUCAGUCUUGCAUGGGGACAUAUUGGUCAUUUAGUAGCUGUGAAGGCACUUCUUACCUGAUCUUUGUUUCUGAUCUGUAAAAUAGAGGUGAUGAUGUACCUUCUUCCUCUAUUGAAUGUCUGUUCAGUCUGUUUUGGCUAAAUUCUCCAAGAAGGUUAGUGUCCUGUUUUGUAAAAGCAACAGGCAGUCUGAAUGCUAAGUCUGGUGAGAUCCUGGUGAGUUACUGUCAUGAAUAAUAAUAAUUAUAGAAUCAUAUGGUGUAUAUUUUUAAUCAACACUGCUGACUUGAAUUUCUUCAGUAUUAGGAAAAUAGCAAUAUUGUUAUUUGCUAAAAAUUAUAGCAAAAGUAGAGAAGAAAAAA